rnacentral:lncRNA from 1 species
CUUACUCUUGCGCGCGUAAUGAUUCCUGCUGGCCACGGACUGAGAGCUCCCGCUGGGGCUCAAGAUUUGGGGGCGGGGUUUCCCAGUCUCUCCCGCGAGCUUCGGGCUUUACUUGCCUAGCCCGCUGUCUCCACGCUAGGGUCUUCGACCCUCCUCCGGGGAGGCGUGCCGGUCGUAAGGCUGCGGAGCGGCUGCUUUCCCGCAACUCGCCUGGAGAGGGGGUUUCCGGAAAACGCUUCGAGUCCGGGCGGCUCCGAGGGUUUUCCUGAGCCAGGGGCGGGGGGCGAAUCCCGCGUGGGUCUUCCCCGGCGCGGCGAGGAGGGCUUGCGGGAAACUCUCCAGGCGCUCACUGGGCGCGCGGGUGGACCCACUUCUGCGAGUUUGGGGUACCGGGAGUCAGCCUAGAAGAUUGGCAUCUGACCCUGCUCUGCAGCUCUGGGACCAGCUGCUUCAAGCCUGCGAGGUCUACACUGUGUCACCUUCAAGCACCUGGAACCCUUCCAGUUGGCUCUACCUCUCUGGAACAUGCAGAACAUCUCUUCCACAUGAAGCAGUGCUAGAGGAAGGGCCGAUAGGCUCCGUCUCUUGUCACCAAGAGACAAAACCCAGUUCAUACGGAACCCUAGUACAGAACAGGACAGGGAGGGUAGACAUAGGGGGACUAGUCUGUUGUUUGUGGGCAGAUAAGCAUCUAAUACUGCAGACAUCUCCCAGCCAGAAGAGACGUACAUCGCAGAAUGCUGGACCUCAGGAGCACUUGCAGAGGGGGACAUUUGGUCUAUAAAACUACUCUGUGUUCAGACAGUGGAUUAACAAAUCCUGCCAGAUUAUAGAGGGGGAGGGGCCAAAGCAGUCAGACAUUGUGGAGCUCAGGCUUGCCCCUCUGCUCAGGUGGUCAGCCACUUUUUUUUUGUUGUUGUUUUUUUUUCUUUUCUGGGUUGUUUUUUUUUUUUUUUUUUUUUUUUUUUUUUGAGAGUUGGGAUGUCGGGUGUUUCCCUUCCUGCCCCUUGCAUGGUUCUCUCAUUCUGCGGAUGCUUGUAAGGCGCACGUGCAUCCUGAAAUGCCAAGACUGCUGCUGCUGGCAUCAACUUUUCUGUAUACUCAUCUAGGGGCAUCUGGACCAGGACAGGGUGAACUCAGUCCAAACAAAACAUGACCAGUGUGUGCAUGCUAUGCUGUUACAUUAAUCACAUGAAUGUGCCAGUUCCUUUCUACAAUAUGGAGUACUGCUGCUUCUCUGACAUGCAGAAUGUACAAGUUCCUCUGUGAGCCUAGGGGACAAAGGGUUACUGCUGGGCCACAUGAAUGUCCAAUGCCUCUUGACUGCUGCCAAGAACCUGUGUUCCUCCUCCUGUCUCUGCUUCUAACUCAAGAUUGGCCUCCCAAGCAUCCUGUGCUCUCCUCAGAAUCUCAGCUCCCAGGAGAGGUACACUCUAUCUCCGUACCAAGUGAGAAGAAAAAAAAACAACCUUAGGACAGAAGUCAUAUUGGCUCAACUAAGCUCCCAUGUCUGGAUCUGUCAACGUGAACAGAGAAUGGAG